rnacentral:lncRNA from 1 species
GGGAAGGAGCUGAGGCUUGGCACUGUAAGAGGCCAGGAGAGGCCACUGGUGAAGUUUCAGCUUCAGUGUCAGUUGAUCAUUGAGGACUGAAAGGGAGGUGGCAAAGAAGUUGAGGCUUGGCACCUUGAAGACCAUCUAUGAGAGGUGACUAGUUAAAGUUCAGCCCAUGUGCACCAGAAGACAUCAUUAUUUUGGAUAGAUGCAAGUACCAUGGGGGUAACCACCAAGACCAUAAGAAGAAGUGGAGUGGAGUCAGCCUAGAGGAAAAGCUUUGUGUGAUACAGAGGGAGAGCUGGGGAAAUGACACAAAAUUCUCCAGUCUUCUUUGGAGAGACCUAGAAGAUUGUGUGGAUCCCAGACUUAGGAUAUUGAGUUAAGCAUACUGACGAAGCCUAGUUUUGUUUGGCUCAGAUUAUAACUGUGCUCUGGUUCUUUCUUCUUAAGGAAGGUUCCAGUCCUGCUUGUGUCCUGUCCUGACAGCCUCCAUUGAUCAACUAUAUUCUGGAAGUGUAAGCAGGUAAAUGAAGCCUUUCCUCCACAACGUGCUUUUUGGACAUGGUAUUUAGUUCCAGUGCAUGGACCUUGGUGUUGACUGAUACCACAGUGUUGACUCAUCUCAAGCAUACAGUUCUAUGGAAAUGACCUUUGAACCGCAGUUCGACAAUGUUGACCUUUCCUCUGCAGUUUCACAGUGAUGACUUUGGGUCUGCAUUUUUGACCUUGGGUCUAUAACAGCAAAGUGUUCACCAUAGACUAACAUAGGCAACCUUUGAACAUCUUCAUGAUAAUGGUGCUAUAUGCAUGAAAACAUCUGAAAGAAAAUGUCUUUUCUACAUUUUGUUCUUCCAGCAGCUUUGCCAACUUUAUGCUUACUCUUUGAAUUUCAUUCUUCCUUCUUUCCAUGUUUAAUUAUAGUUUUUAUUUAGAAAAACAUAGCUUCUGAUUAUGUUCUAUACUGACACUUAGAGAAAUUUGGUCCAGUUCAUCAUCUCUCAGCUAUCUCUGCAAUUCCUCCUUCUAGGAUCCUUGUAGUCACCUCAUACAACAACAUUUGCUCACUGAUUUUUAUUUUUUGUUUUUGCUUUUUUUAAUCAGGCAGAGUUCAAUUUCCUGAAACUUCUCAUUUGAUUUCCUAGUACUAUGGUUCAGUUAAUCCUAACCUCAUGAUCAUGGCAAACUUAGGUUAUGUUCUGGCUCACUACUUAAAUUAAUGCCUCUAUUUUCCUUUUCCCAACUUUGUUUCAGUACAUCUAAAACCAUCAAACAGACAAUAUAUUGUAAUGUCAGUGAUUAAGGAGAGAGCUUAUUCUGCAAUGAGAGGACUGCAAAGCUACAUUAUCUCCAUUGAGGCUAUUCAACUUUAUUUCUCAGUAUCUGUAUCUGGUAUAAGGAUACAAUAAAACCUAAUAUACAGGACUGUUGUGAAAUUAAGUAUAAUAGUUCAUGAAAAAUACAUAAUAAAUACUAUUUG